rnacentral:rRNA from 1 species
ACUUUCGAAAGACUCAUUAA